GACAGAGGGUGCAAACGUUGUUCGGAUUUACUGGGCGUAAAGCGCGUGUAGGCGGCUUUGCAAGUCGGAUGUGAAAGCCCACGGCUCAACCGUGGAAGUGCAUCCGAAACUGCAUGGCUCGAGUCUCGGAGAGGAAGGUGGAAUGCUUGGUGUAGAGGUGAAAUUCGUAGAUAUCGAGAGGAACACCGGUGGCGAAGGCGGCCAACUGGACGAAUACUGACGCUGAGACUCGAAAGCGUGGGGAGCAAACAGG
rnacentral:rRNA from 1 species